ACUGAUAUGCCGGCAUUGAGAAAAUGUUGGUGUAUCAUGCUAAUCGAAAACCUUGGAAGCCAUGGCAAACUCUUUGCCCACUGGACCGACGCAUCUAAGGCUCUUCUUCGGGGUGAGGUGCCACCAGUUUUCAAACUGAAGAAGAGAAGGCAAGAUGAUAUACAUGAGGGGCCAAUUGACAACAUCGUGGCUGGAGUUGCCUGGUUGCGUCAGAAUGCAGGUUUGCUCAGGGCGGGGGAAGGUGGUCGAGCCCUCGUUUCAGAAUAUGGACGCAACAGAACACCAGGAGCUCCUGGAAAGGAUACGUUUUUGAAAUGAUGAAGAAGAAAAGUAUCCCCUGCUCUUCACCUUUGAUUUUCAGGAAGACCUGGAGGUCUUCCUUAACAUGGCAGCUGAGGAGGAUCUUCGAGUCAACGCCAUGUUCCUGGGUCGCUGGGUGGAAACUCAUUGACAUUGCUGUGUGUGUGUGUGUGUGUGUGUGUGUGUGUGUGUGUGUGUGUGUGUGUGUGUGUGUGUGUGUGUGUGUGUGUGUGUGUGUGUGUGUGUGUGUGUGUGUGUGUGUGUGUGCGUGCGC